rnacentral:rRNA from 1 species
ACGGGUGAGUAACACGUAGGCAACCUGCCUGUCAACCCGGGAUAACCUCGGGAAACCGGGGCUAAUACCGGAUAAAUCUCUGGCCGCAUGGUCAAGAGAUAAAAGGCAUUGGCCACUGGCAGAUGGGCCUGCGGCGCAUUAGCUAGUUGGUGGGAUAAAAGCCCACCAAGGCGACGAUGCGUAGCCGACCUGAGAGGGUGACCGGCCACACUGGGACUGAGACACGGCCCAGACUCCUACGGGAGGCAGCAGUAGGGAAUCUUCCGCAAUGGGCGCAAGCCUGACGGAGCGAUGCCGCGUGAGUGAGGAAGGUUUUCGGAUCGUAAAACUCUGUUGCGGGGGAAGAACCUCUGUGAUGGGAUCACAGACUGACGGUACCCCGCGAGGAAGCCCCGGCUAACUACGUGCCAGCAGCCGCGGUAACACGUAGGGGGCAAGCGUUGUCCGGAAUUAUUGGGCGUAAAGGGCGCGCAGGCGGUCAUUUGAGUCUGAUGUGAAAGCCCACGGCUCAACCGUGGAGAGACAUUGGAAACUGGAUGACUUGAGUGUAGGAGAGGGAAGUGGAAUUCCA